ACCCCUGGGUGACCCGGAGCAAUAUCCCAUACUCAAACACAUGAACAUUUCAGCCUUGUGUCAAUUCAGUUCAGGUUUUGCUGCCAAGUGAAUUCAGCAAGAUCAGAUUUUGCCACCAAGUGAACUGCUUGAAAACUUUUGGGCUUCUGAAUUGCUAAUGAGAUGGUUAUAUAAGUACAUGCACAAUAUCCUCAAUUUUACUCUGGGUCUGCAAAACAAGAAUAUUUACUACCUGGUCCUUUGAGAAAAAGUUUGCAGGUCUCUAGUCUCCCUCAAGCUGUAAUAAUUCUUCUGGUUUUUCUACAACUUUCAUGACCUCAACCCUCAAGAUUAUGGGCCAUCCUAUGUAUGCACACAAACUUCGAUCUGUCCCACUACUUGUGUCAUCAUUUGAUAAGCACGUACAAGAUAUAAAAGCUUUCGGAGCUCUCUAAAUGCAUGUUCAGUCUACUUGGAUUGGCUUCAAACAAAUGUGACAGAUGUCGCUUUUUUUGGCUCCAACGCUUGCCAGUCGAGCAUAUGCAUGUUUGCACAUUACAUCUGCAAUCAGCGAUAACGUCCUGUGCCCCAAAGAGCUUGCACAUCCAACUUUCACUGAAAAAUCUUGAAUUGCUUUUCCUCCAAGUCCUCUGGCUCGCAGGUGCUCUUGAUAUCUCUCUUUGCUUUUUCCAGAUGAAGAAAUGGAGGCACAUUUUACAACAUGAUAUUGCUAACAAGUGGUGUAAUCACAACCCAAACUUUAGUGUUUCUAAAAGCCUGAAGUCGAACUCCAGGGCAUGCACUCUCUGAAUUCUAGAGUGUGACCUACAAAUAAAUACUGCAAAAUGGA